rnacentral:rRNA from 1 species
AAUUUUGUACAAUGGGCGCAAGCCUGAUCCAGCCAUGCCGCGUGAGUGAAGAAGGCCUNCGGGUUNUNAAGCUCUUUCGUACGGANAGAAAUCGCGCAGGCUAAUACCCUGCGCGGAUGACUGUACCGUCAUAAGAAGCACCGGCUAACUACGUGCCAGCAGCCGCGGUAAUACGUAGGGUGCAAGCGGUAAUCGGAAUUACUGGGCGUAAAGCGUGCGCAGGCGGUUCGGAAAGAAGGAUGGGAAAUCCCAGGGCUCAACCUUGGAACUGCAUUCUUAACUACCGAACUAGAGUAUGUCAGAGGGGGGUAGAAUUCCGCGUGUAGCAGUGAAAUGCGUAGAUAUGCGGAGGAAUACCGAUGGCGAAGGCAGCCCCCUGGGCCGAUACUGACGCUCAUGCACGAAAGCGUGGGUAGCAAACAGG